GGAGCUGUGGCUUAGUGGUAGAGCCCUUGCUUUGUGUAUUGAAGGUCCCAGGUUCAAUCCCUGGCAUCUCCA
rnacentral:tRNA from 1 species